rnacentral:rRNA from 1 species
UACGGAGGGUGCAAGCGUUAUCCGGAUUCACUGGGUUUAAAGGGUGCGUAGGCGGACAAUUAAGUCAGUGGUGAAAUCCUGGAGCUUAACUCCAGAACUGCCAUUGAUACUAUUUAUCUUGAAUAUUGUGGAGGUGAACGGAAUAUGUCAUGUAGCGGUGAAAUGCUUAGAUAUGACAUAGAACACCAAUUGCGAAGGCAGUUCGCUACACAAAUAUUGACGCUGAGGCACGAAAGCGUGGGGAUCAAACAGG